rnacentral:rRNA from 1 species
AACGGGUGAGUAAUAAUCGGACGUACCAGAAGUUUGGGGUGGAUAACGUAGNCGAAAGUUACGCCUAAUACCGCAUACGAUCUAUGGAUGAAAGUGGGGGACCUUCGGGCCUCAUGCUUUUGGAGCGGCCGAUAUCUGAUUAGCUAGUUGGUGAAGGUAAAGGCUCACCAAGGCGACGAUCAGUAGCUGGUCUGAGAGGACGACCAGCCACACUGGGACUGAGACACGGCCCAGACUCCUACGGGAGGCAGCAGUGGGGAAUUUUGGACAAUGGGCGCAAGCCUGAUCCAGCAAUGCCGCGUGAGUGAAGAAGGCCUUCGGGUUGUAAAGCUCUUUUGUCAGGGAAGAAACGGCUCGGGUAUAAUACCUUGGGCUAAUGACGGUACCUGAAGAAUAAGCACCGGCUAACUACGUGCCAGCCGCCGCGG